rnacentral:rRNA from 1 species
UACGGGGGGGGCAAGCGUUAUUCGGAAUUACUGGGCGUAAAGGGCUCGUAGGCGGCCAACUAAGUCGGAUGUGAAAUCCCCAGGCUUAACCUGGGAACUGCAUCCGAUACUGGAUGGCUUGAAUCCGGGAGAGGGAUGCAGAAUUCCAGGUGUAGCGGUGAAAUGCGUAGAUAUCUGGAGGAAUACCGGUGGCGAAGGCGGCAUCCUGGACCGGCAUUGACGCUGAUGAGCGAAAGCUAGGGGAGCAAACGGG